CGUUAGCUCAGCUGGUAGAGCAACUGACUCUUAAUCAGUGGGUCACAGGUUCGAUCCCUGCAC
rnacentral:tRNA from 1 species